rnacentral:tRNA from 1 species
CGGGCAAUAGCGCAGCUGGUAGCGCGCUACGUUCGGGACGUAGAGGCCGGCGGUUCAAAUCCGCCUUGCCCGA